rnacentral:rRNA from 1 species
UGGGGAAUUUUGGACAAUGGGCGCAAGCCUGAUCCAGCCAUGCCGCGUGUCUGAAGAGGGCCUUCGGGUUGUAAAGGACUUUUGUCAGGGAAGAAAAGGAUAGGGUUAAUACCCCUGUCUGAUGACGGUACCUGAAGAAUAAGCACCGGCUAACUACGUGCCAGCAGCCGCGGUAAUACGUAGGGUGCGAGCGUUAAUCGGAAUUACUGGGCGUAAAGCGGGCGCAGACGGUUACUUAAGCAGGAUGUGAAAUCCCCGGGCUCAACCUGGGAACUGCGUUCUGAACUGGGUGACUAGAGUGUGUCAGAGGGAGGUAGAAUUCCACGUGUAGCAGUGAAAUGCGUAGAGAUGUGGAGGAAUACCGAUGGCGAAGGCAGCCUCCUGGGAUAACACUGACGUUCAUGCCCGAAAGCGUGGGUAGCAAACAGGAUUAGAUACCCUGGUAGUCCACGCCCUAAACGAUGUCGAUUAGCUGUUGGGCAGCUUGACUGCUUAGUAGCGAAGCUAACGCGUGAAAUCGACCGCCUGGGGAGUACGGUCGCAAGAUUA